ensembl:misc_RNA Metazoa_SRP Metazoan signal recognition particle RNA
GCUGGGUGUGGUGGCUCACGCCUGUAAUCCCAACACUUCAGGAGGCUGAGGCGGGCGGAUCACCUGAGGUCGGGAGUUCGAGACCAGCCUGACCAACAUGGAGAAACCCCGUCUCUA